ACGCUCGACACCUACUGGAGGCAGCAGUGGGGAAUAUUGCACAAUGGGGGAAACCCUGAUGCAGCAACGCCGCGUGAAGGAAGACGGUUUUCGGAUUGUAAACUUCUGUUCUUAGUGAAGAUAGUGACGGUAGCUAAGGAGCAAGCCACGGCUAACUACGUGACAGCAGCCGCGGUAAUCUGAGCGGGCUGGCAAGGC
rnacentral:rRNA from 1 species